GCCGGAGGGUGCAAGCGUUGCUCGGAAUCACUGGGCUUAAAGCGCACGCAGGCGGAUCGAUAAGUCGGGGGUGAAAGCCCGGGGCUCAACCUCGGAAUUGCCUUCGAUACUGUCGGUCUCGAGUCCGGGAGAGGUGAGUGGAAUUCCUAGUGUAGAGGUGAAAUUCGUAGAUAUUAGGAAGAACACCAGUGGCGAAGGCGGCUCACUGGCCCGGUACUGACGCUCAGGUGCGAAAGCGUGGGGAGCAAACAGG
rnacentral:rRNA from 1 species